UACAGAGGUCUCAAGCGUUGUUCGGAUUCAUUGGGCGUAAAGGGUGCGUAGGCGGUUUGAUAAGUCUGAUGUGAAAUCCCGCAGCUUAACUGCGGAACUGCAUUGGAGACUAUUUGACUAGAGGAAUGGAGGGGAGACUGGAAUACUUGGUGUAGCAGUGAAAUGCGUAGCUAUCAAGUGGACCACCAGUGGCGAAGGCGAGUCUCUGGACAUUUCCUGACGCUGAGGCACGAAAGCCAGGGGAGCAAACGGG
rnacentral:rRNA from 1 species